rnacentral:tRNA from 1 species
GAGAGAUUAGCUCAUCUGGAUAGAGCGGCAGCCUCCGGAGCUGCAGGUAGUGCGUUCGAAUCGCAUAUCUCUCA